CCUACGGGAGGCAGCAGUGGGGAAUUUUGGACAAUGGGCGAAAGCCUGAUCCAGCCAUGCCGCGUGCAGGAUGAAGGCCUUCGGGUUGUAAACUGCUUUUGUACGGAACGAAAAGCCUCUUUCUAAUAAAGAGGGGUCAUGACGGUACCGUAAGAAUAAGCACCGGCUAACUACGUGCCAGCAGCCGCGGUAAUACGUAGGGUGCGAGCGUUAAUCGGAAUUACUGGGCGUAAAGCGUGCGCAGGCGGUUAUAUAGGACAGUUGUGAAAUCCCCGGGCUCAACCUGGGAACUGCAUCUGUGACUGUAUAGCUAGAGUACGGUAGAGGGGGAUGGAAUUCCGCGUGUAGCAGUGAAAUGCGUAGAUAUGCGGAGGAACACCGAUGGCGAAGGCAAUCCCCUGGACCUGUACUGACGCUCAUGCACGAAAGCGUGGGGAGCAAACAGGAUUAGAUACCCUGGUAGUCCACGCCCUAAACGAUGUCAACUGGUUGUUGGGAAUUCACUUUCUUAGUAACGAAGCUAACGCGUGAAGUUGACCGCCUGGGGAGUACGGCCGCAAGGUUGAAACUCAAAUGAAUUGACGG
rnacentral:rRNA from 1 species